AAGGAUCUUCGGGGUAGGGUGAGAUUCCCAACCGGCGGUAUGGCUCAUGGAGCUAAGCCCGCGACUCUGUAUCCGGCAACAGGAUACGGACUGAUUUGGUGAGAUGCCAAAGCCGACGGUAAAGUCCGGAUGGAAGAAGAUCGAA
rfam:Paenibacillus polymyxa SC2, complete genome.